CACGUAGGGGGCGAGCGUUGUCCGGAUUUAUUGGGCGUAAAGAGCUCGUAGGCGGCUCGGUAAGUCGGAUGUGAAAACUCGGGGCUCAACCCCGAGAUGCCAUUCGAUACUGCUGUGGCUAGAGUCCGGUAGGGGAGCGUGGAAUUCCUGGUGUAGCGGUGAAAUGCGCAGAUAUCAGGAGGAACACCAGUGGCGAAGGCGGCGCUCUGGGCCGGAACUGACGCUGAGGAGCGAAAGCGUGGGGAGCAAACAGG
rnacentral:rRNA from 1 species